AUUUAUGUAAUAUAAAAAUUAUACUUAACUUCCAAUUAAAAAAUCUAGAAAUAACUAGCAUAAAUA
rnacentral:tRNA from 1 species